UAGAGUUUGAUCAUGGCUCAGAACGAACGCUGGCGGCAGGCUUAACACAUGCAAGUCGAACGCAUCGCAAGAUGAGUGGCAGACGGGUGAGUAACGCGUGGGAACGUACCCUUUGGUACGGAAUAGCCCCGGGAAACUGGGAGUAAUACCGUAUGGUGUCUUCGGACUAAAGAUUUAUCGCCAAAGGAUCGGCCCGCGUUGGAUUAGGUAGUUGGUGGGGUAAUGGCCUACCAAGCCGACGAUCCAUAGCUGGUUUGAGAGGGUGAUCAGCCACACUGGGACUGAGACACGGCCCAGACUCCUACGGGAGGCAGCAGUGGGGAAUCUCAGACAAUGGGCGCAAGCCUGAUCUAGCCAUGCCGCGUGAGUGAUGAAGGCCCUAGGGUUGUAAAGCUCUUUCAGCUGGGAAGAUAAUGACGGUACCAGCAGAAGAAGCCCCGGCUAACUCCGUGCCAGCAGCCGCGGUAAU
rnacentral:rRNA from 1 species